AACGAACGCUGGCGGCAUGCCUAAUACAUGCAAGUCGAACGAGCCCUUCGGGGUUAGUGGCGCACGGGUGCGUAACGCGUGGGAAUCUGCCCUUGGGUUCGGAAUAACGUCUGGAAACGGACGCUAAUACCGGAUGAUGACGAAAGUCCAAAGAUUUAUCGCCCAGGGAUGAGCCCGCGUAGGAUUAGCUAGUUGGUGAGGUAAAGGCUCACCAAGGCGACGAUCCUUAGCUGGUCUGAGAGGAUGAUCAGCCACACUGGGACUGAGACACGGCCCAGACUCCUACGGGAGGCAGCGGAAGGGAAUAUUGGACAAUGGGGGCAACCCUGAUCCAGCAAUGCCGCGUGAGUGAUGAAGGCCUUAGGGUUGUAAAGCUCUUUUACCCGGGAUGAUAAUGACAGUACCGGGAGAAUAAGCCCCGGCUAACUCCGUGCCAGCAGCCGCGGUAAUAC
rnacentral:rRNA from 1 species